rnacentral:rRNA from 1 species
CCUACGGGAGGCAGCAGUGAGGAAUAUUGGUCAAUGGGCGCAAGCCUGAACCAGCCAAGUCGCGUGCAGGAUGACGGUCCUAUGGGUUGUAAACCGCUUUUUUAAGGGAGCAAAUGGCGCUACGUGUAGCGUUUUGCGCGUACCUUACGAACAAGGAUCGGCUAAAUCCGUGCCAGCAGCCGCGGUAAUACGGAAGGUGCGGGCGUUAUCCGGAAUUAUUGGGGUUAAAGGGUGCGCAGGCGGGAUGUCAAGCCUGCUGUGAAAUGUUCGGGCUCAACCCCGGCCGUGCAGUUGAAACUGGCGUGCUGGAGUGAGCGAGAAGGAGGCGGAAUUCGUGGUGUAGCGGUGAAAUGCAUAGAGAUCACGAAGAACCCCGAUUGCGAAGGCAGCAUGCUGGAGCGUAACUGACGCUGAUGCACGAAAGCGUGGGUAUCGAACAGGAUUAGAUACCCGAGUAGUC